AGUCACAAAUUUCAAAUGAAAUAUCUUUGGUAACAGAAAAAAAAUACUAUCACUUUUUCCUUCUCUUUUCCAUUCCUUAUUUUCUCCCCUUUCUUUUGGUCACUAUUAGUUUCCUAUGUCUUUAUCUCUUCCCCUCUCUUUCCAUGUCUUUUUGUAUCUGUUUCUUUUUUCCUUUCACUUAAUUUCUCUUUCCCCUUCUCGUUCCAUCUCUCUUUUCUCAUUUCCAUCCUCUGAUCCCCCUUCAUCUGUCCUCUACGUUUAGCAGCCAUCAUGAAUGGAGCUAAUGUUUCUCUCUCUCUCACACACUUUCUCUCUCUCGCUCCGCCUUACAUGCUAAAUGCUCAUCAUCUCUGAAAAAGGCUGAUUAAGGGGCUGUGCCUGUGUGUCCACAUGUGCAUACAUUCAACGAAACCUUCCAUAUGAACCAUUCUUCAUUCUCUGCCUGAUCCACAUACACACACUCACACACACACACACACACACACACACACACACACACACACACACACACACACACACACACACACACACACACACACACACACACACAACCAUGACGAAAACUAAAAUACACAUUAAAGUAUUCUGCCACUGGCCCAUCUCUCAAACACACACACACACACACACACACACACACACACACACACACACACACACACACACACACACACACACACACACACACACACCCUAAACCCUCUCCCCCACCUCUCUCGCUCUCUCUCUCACUGAUAAAGACAUGAAGGGUCCCGGGGCCAUGCCACUAAUUAACUCCCCCCCCUCCCCCCAAAUCCCCUAUCGUCACUGGGGCUGAAGUCCUCGUCUUUCUGCGUCUGACAGGGACUCAAACAUCGGGCACGCAUGUAAUUUAUUAUAACAUAUGUGCAGCAGCGUGCUGGGUGGUGGACAGUGGAGGAUCGUAAGGUUGUCUGAAAUACCUGGGAAGUUAUGGCAGUCUUUGUUUGUUCAAACUGAUCCCAGCCGGUGUAAAAGUAUCCAGGUGACUCCACCAAGGCAGUUGAACGAGGGGUUCAAUAAAGAUCAGACACUAUUCCCCAUCCACCUGAUGGGCAUUCAUCUUGCGGUAGAGGGCGAGGGAUAAUGCUUCCAGUAUAACUCCAGUGCCCAAUGACACACAGAGGCAGCGGAAGCGUACGACGAAGCAGGAUGAGCUGGUGGCAUACCUGCAGUCGGCUGAUCAGGAGAGGGCUGGUGCUCCGAAGCAGCAGGAGGACUUCAUAAAGGACGCCCUGCGGGAGAUGAGGGUAGAUCAGAGGGAUCUCCUUCAGCAGUUUACGAGGAUGGUGGACAAGAUGUGGAGCGACGAUCCUGUCCUUGCCAAGCGACCAGUCCGUUGUCGAUGCACAAUGACGACGGAAAACAGCAUUUAAGUUCAAUGCUUUUCAAACAUUUAAGUUCAAUGCUUUACAAGCAUUUAAGUUCUAGUUCAUUCAGGUUGAAUUAACCUUUGUUUUGCACCAUUUUGUUCACUUUUAUUUAUUUAUUUGCACUUUAAGUAUUUUAUAGAAACAAUUUGCACUUUAUUUACUAAGAGUUGUAUUAUUACAAGAGUUGCAUUAUUGUAAUAGCUUUG
rnacentral:lncRNA from 1 species